rnacentral:rRNA from 1 species
GACGAACGCUGGCGGCGCGCUUAACACAUGCGAGUCGAACGGAAAGGCCUGCUUUCCCUUGUGGAUUGCGGGUACUCGAGUGGCGAACGGGUGAGUAACACGUGAGUGAUCUGCCCCCAACUUGGGUAUAAGCCUGGGAAACUGGGUCUAAUUCCCGAUAGGACUGCAGGGUGGUGCCUGUGGUGGAACACGAUUUUCUAGUGGUUGGGGAUGAGCUCGCGGCCUAUCAGCUUGUUGGUGGGGUAAUGGCCUACCAAGGCGGCGACGGGUAGCCGGCCUGGGAGGGGGGACGGCCACAGUGGGACUGAGAGACGGCCCAGACUCCUACGGGAGGCAGCAGUGGGGAAUAUUGCACAAUGGGCGGAAGCCUGAUGCAGCGACGCCGCGUGGGGGAUGACGGCCUUCGGGUUGUAAACUCCUUUCGACCGCGAGGAAGCCACCUGGUUGGAAGGGUGGUGACGGUAGUGGUAGAAGAAGCACCGGCUAACUACGUG